GCUGAAGCAAGAAAGAUUUAGUUACCAUUCUGUCAGAUUACAGUGAGGGCUGCAGUCCUGAUCACCCACGGUCAAAGCAAAGACUCCCCCCCAGGGCAUUCUUCCUCUGUCAUAACCUGUUUGGCCUUUCUCGUGCCUUAGCAUUCUCCCCACAGCCUUGACUGGCUACAGCCUUGGCCUUUGCUGCUUCUCCUCCCUGGGUAGUACAUGGACUUCAUGACUCCACCUCUCCAAUGCCACCAUUUCCCUCCACAUACAGAAGUUUGUGGAACAACAGAAGGAAUCAUAAAACAGAUGGGGAAUAUUCAUUCACUGACUUGUCUGGAAGACUCCUGGAACUCUGUGCUGCUAAAGGUAUUCAAAUGUAUGUAUAUAUUUAUAUAUCUUACCAGUAUCUCUGCCUCUGGUUGAAACCAACCGCCACAAAAACAGUGGUAGAAAUGGAAAAUAAUGUCAACGGAACUUUUUGUAGCCUCCAAGAAAAGAUUCAGAUUCGUUUUGAGCAAAGGAACUCGGGUUGUUUCUUUAAGACUUCCUGUGAAAGUCUAUCUGCUACAUUAUGACUAAAGCUUGGAGGAGCAUCCUUUACCCACCAGAGGCUGGCACCAGAAAGCCUCAGGUACUGGGAGGCAAUCCACCUACCUGUAAC